AACAACACUAUCUACUUUUUCUUUUCAUUUGAACUCAAUUUGCAUUUGCUAGUUAUCUUCAAUUUGCACACAACUGUUUUUCAAUGUUGAAGCUUUCUGCACCACUAGGAACUCAGAACCAACCAAAAACUGCUGAUAACUCAAGUUAUGAACAUGUUCGUCGUUAGGGUACUGAAGAAACAGGUGGCGG